AGGAACACUACAUUGGUUCAUCACAAACUCAAAUCAAGCAUCAUCACGAAAUUAAUUGUUGGCGUUAAUUCAUAAAUCUUACACAAAAAAUAUUCCUGUCGAACUAGUUAUACGUUUCCACAUGAAAUCGUUUCCCGCUUCUUCUUCGGAUGAUGUUCACCUCACAUAUUGUAAUAAUCGAGUCGGAUAAGUUUGCAGAAUAAGCACGAAUCAUACAAGGCAACGGAAAUUCUCAGGAUAUCGAGAGAUCUCACCGGAAAUUCUCUGGGACUUUGAAUUCUCCGGUAUCCACGAGGCGACGCAAAGGCGAGGAGAAGGAGGCGCCGCCCGCGCUCUCGCCGUUGGUGACAUUUUGCGAAAACAAAAUCAAAUAUUUUAAAUACCGGGUCGGGUUGACAGAAAAGGAUCCGGGUCGGGUUGAGAACUUGACCGAGCCCAAAACUGAAACAGUCUCUCUCUCCCGAGCUGCUCUUCUUCUUCUUCAAGUUGAUUUCUUCCUUGGCGCCAUCGCAGAGAGAGAGAGAGAGGGGGCGGGGCGCCUCGAGAUCAGAUUGCGAUCUAAUGUACGAUUCCAUCAUUCAGAUAUGUAACUUCUCGACAUGUAGUAACUUGACCCUUGUACUCCUCUGGGUCGUGAUGAUAUACUACAUUAAGAUUUAAGAACAUGAACGGUAAGGCGAUUUCCUCUUCAAACUCAAUUUAGGCCCAAAGCUAUGUGAUGUUAGAUUAUACUGCCUUUCUUGAUAGCUGACCUGUAUUUGUUUGUGGUCUUGAUUUCCCCCCUUCUGUUAGCAACUUUUGGUUUCUUAUUCAUAAUCUCGGGUGGUAAAGGUUCAAGUUUUUCGAGCCACUUGGAUUCGGACCUGGAGCUUCGGAUUCAGAAAUUAAAAAAGCAUAUAGAAGGCUGCCCAUCCAAUACCAUCCUGAUAAAAAAAAAAAAAAAAAACCAGAUCCAGGGACCAGGCCAGGGUGCUUUCUGCUUCUUAGUUUAUAAAGAGCUUCUUCCCUUUGGCUCGAGGGAAUUGCAGCUACAGUUUUUUUCUUUUGCGUCUUGUACUUCUUACUGCUGAUUUGCUUAUCUAAUUGUAACAGAGACCCAUAAAUUUUUUUGCAUCUUGUAUCGUGAAAACUUUGAGAAGUAUGGCCAUCCAGAAGGCAGACAAGGAGGGAUAUGUUUUCGACUUUGCAAGUGAACAUGGAUUUUCCGAAUCCGUUUUAAAUCAAAUCUUGCAUUGUGAUGCAGGGAUUUCAAGUGGGCAUUGCUCUUCCUCAAUUUCUCAUAGGCAUAGAUGGAGCAUCUGGCGCCGUAUUAUUACUGUGGGUAGUCGGUACGGUUAUCUGUAUUCUCUUGCCCCUUUUGAUUGCUGUGAUAUAUCUCUCGAGGUCAUCAAAGUGUACCGGGAACCAUGUUAUGCAUCAGACGCUUUCAGCAUGCUUUCAUCUAAUGAAGCCGUCUUUACUCUUCAGCCCCAAGCAAGGUUAUGGAAGUUUUCAUCAAGGCAGGCGAAUACAUGGAGAUUCCUGUUCGUAGAACUGAUGAUGAACCUCCCCCAUUUAGCUCGUGAAUCAGCGGUCCUCUCUCCAGCUUUGCUUAGGUAGCUCUCACCUCGCCUUCUUGAAGAGUUACUGAAGGUAAUUUCUUGGCUUUGCUUGAUUAGCUUGUUCGGUUAUUUCGAGUCAUGCAAGUUUUGGAUAUACCACGGCAAUUUCCGGGGAAAAGAGUUAAAAAAAGGAAGUGUGGUUUCUGAAGAAACCGAACUAUAAACCUCAAACAUCUCAGGCUGUUCCGCUAAAGUCAAGUGCAGGAUCUGCUCAAGGCAUUGCUUCUUUCUUGCAGCCAUGUUACUUGCUCUAAUAUAAUACGAAUUUUCUAUCAAUUUUUUAGAUUAAUAUAGAAAUUAUAACUUUUUUAGGAAAAAUAUGGUGCGAUUAAAAUUAUGAUUUUUUUUUUACAAAUAUACCACGUUUAGUGCCAUUUUCGGUUUCAUCUGUAAUUUUUUAUGCACUUUUUUUUACUCUUGUAAAACUCGUAUAUUUAA